AUAACUGGCUUGUCACAGCCAAUCGUUCAUGGCGACGUUUCUUUUUUUUAUCCUUCGAUAUCGGCUUUUCUUACCAUUAUGAAGCAGAAUUCACCGAGCGCUGGCUUGUUGACCAACUUAUUAGGAAAGUGAUCUAAAAAUGUAUAAAAAUA
rnacentral:ncRNA from 1 species